rnacentral:tRNA from 1 species
GAUUCCUAACCACCUCUAGUGA